GCAGAUUUGUUUGCUCAUGGCUUUUUUUUUGUUGUUGCCAUCCCAGUUAAGUUGAAACAGGGCGGAGGAAGAGCUCCAGCAGCCCUGCGAGAGCCUGGAAGAGGGCUUCAGCAGUGAUCGGCUUAGCAAGGUCAAGGCAUUCUUGUAGGAGCAGCGUGCAGGGCUGGACAUGGGGUUCUAGUCCUACUCGGCACCUGGGUUUCCCACUUCACCCGCUGCGACUGCCUCUUCGUGAAUCUUUACUGCGUUUGUAAUGUCUCCAUGUGCACAGC
rnacentral:lncRNA from 1 species